CCCUUAGAUGUUCUGGGCCGCACGCGCGCUACUCUGACGAUGGCAACGAGUUUUUCCUUCGCCGAAAGGUGUGGGUAAUCUUUUGAAACAUCGUCGUGCUGGGGAUAGAUCAUUGCAAUUUUUGAUCUUGAACGAGGAAUUCCUAGUAAGCGCGAGUCAUCAGCUCGCGUUGAUUACGUCCCUGCCCUUUGUACACACCGCCCGUCGCUACUACCGAUUGGAUGAUCCGGUGAAGCCUCGGGAUUGUGACCAGUUUCCUUUAUUGGGAGUUGGUUGCGAGAACUUGUCUAAACCUUAUCAUCUAGAGGAAGGUGAAGUCGUAACA
rnacentral:rRNA from 1 species